UUAAAAUUAAUUAUAAUUCCUGGUGAAUUUGGAUUAUUUUAUUAUUUUUAAUUUAAUAAAACCGAAUUUUAGAGAAAUUUCUUCAUUAAUAUAUAUUAUAUCAUAAAAAUAUUAAAAUGAAGAAAUUUUAAAUUAAUUAAACUAAACUUUAUCUGUUUGACUAAAUAUUUAGGUUAACCUAAAUAUUUACAUUAACUUUAAUUAUAUAACUUAUUUUAUGACUAAAUUAGUAUUAAAAAUUUAAAAAAUUUUUAUAUAAAAUAUAAUAAAAUUAAAACUAUAUUUUAAAUUUGAAUGUUUACCAAAAACAUUUUUUUAUAACGUAAAAUAAGCUCUGCUCAAUGAAAUUUAAAUUGCAGUUUUAGCGUGAUUACUCAAAGGUAGCAAAAUCCAUAGGUCCUUAAUAAGGCUCUAGACUGAAUGAGUCUUCAUAUUUAAGUAUUUAAUUUUUAUAAUAAAAAACUUAAAAUAAAUUUGAAAAUAAAUUUAAAUUUAUUUCUACGAGAAGACCCUAAGAUUUUAAAAUUAAAAUUUGAUAAUUAAUUUAACUUGGGUAUUUCUUAUAAUUAUAAGAUUAAUCUUAUUGAAAUUUAAUAAAAAUACCUUAGGGAUAACAGCUAAUUUAGGUUUAAAUGUUAUUAUAAACUAUUAAACCAAUUUGACCUCGAUGUUGACUUAUAAAAUUUUAAUAAGUAUAAGAUUAAAUAUAAUUAGACUGUUCGUCUAUAGAUUUAUGUGAGCUGAGUUCAAAACACUGAAAAGUAGUUUGGUUUCUAUAGAAUAAUAAAAUUUGUUACUAUAAAAGUACGUAAGGACAUUAUGGUAUUU
rnacentral:rRNA from 1 species